rnacentral:rRNA from 1 species
GACGAACGCUGGCGGCGUGCCUAAUACAUGCAAGUAGAACGCACAGUUUAUACCGUAGCUUGCUACACCAUACACUGUGAGUUGCGAACGGGUGAGUAACGCGUAGGUAACCUGCCUGGUAGCGGGGGAUAACUAUUGGAAACGAUAGCUAAUACCGCAUAAUAUUAAUUAUUGCAUGAUAAUUGAUUGAAAGAUGCAAUUGCAUCACUACCAGAUGGACCUGCGUUGUAUUAGCUAGUAGGUGAGGUAACGGCUCACCUAGGCGACGAUACAUAGCCGACCUGAGAGGGUGAUCGGCCACACUGGGACUGAGACACGGCCCAGACUCCUACGGGAGGCAGCAGUAGGGAAUCUUCGGCAAUGGACGAAAGUCUGACCGAGCAACGCCGCGUGAGUGAAGAAGGUUUUCGGAUCGUAAAGCUCUGUUGUAAGAGAAGAACGGGUGUGAGAGUGGAAAGUUCACACUGUGACGGUAGCUUACCAGAAAGGGACGGCUAACUACGUG